rnacentral:tRNA from 1 species
UCCCUGGUAGUCCAGUGGUUAGGGCUCUAUGCUUCCAAUGCAGGGGGCCUGGGUUCAAUCUCCGGUCAGGGAA